CUCACUUUUUCAAACACAAGUAAAGAAAAGGAAGCUUUAGGAACGUGGGAACGUAAAAGCAUACAGUUCUUUACUUUGCUAUCAAAACACUAUUGAAUCAAUUGAACACUACGUGGACAUUAGUUUUGACAUUUAAGUUGUGCCUUUUAACACCCUUUCUUCAAUCAACUACCAAUUGUUUGUUGGAUUACUGGAAUCCACCCUGUCUGAUACUACCAACCAACAAAACUGCCCGCUGCCUGCCUCGCUCGGCUUAUCAACCUACUAGCUACCUGCUGGAAUUCCAUCUCAUCCAUCAAAAAAGUGCUGAAUGAGAAGAGCCAUAACCACAGCCAAAGGGGAUGAAUAGCUUUGAUAUUUUUAAUUUUUGUGACGAGAGAAUCUACAAAGUGGCUUGUGAACCCUGGGAGCCAUAAUCGGUCCUUGAAGAUAUGAAGAGUGAGUGGAAGAGAGACUUCCACUUGAAUGCUGCUCCGGCAUAGCACAGGUCAGUUCAACAUACUCCACUCUUUUACUUACUCUGUGGCUUUUGCCCUGAAGGUGGUGGCAGACUUUGUGCUCUUAUCAGUAGCUCAGAAGAUCAUCCUGACCUAUUUUCAGGGCAUAGUGGUUUUCAAUUAAAAAAGGAUU